rnacentral:rRNA from 1 species
AUACGGAGAGUGCAAGCGUUGUUCGGAAUUACUGGGCGUAAAGCGCGCGUAGGUGGUCUGUUAUGUCAGAUGUGAAAGUCCUCGGCUCAACCAGGGAAGUGCAUUUGAAACUGGCAGACUUGAGUACUGGAGGGGGUGGUGGAAUUCCCGGUGUAGAGGUGAAAUUCGUAGAUAUCGGGAGGAAUACCGGUGGCGAAGGCGACCACCUGGCCAGAUACUGACGCUGAGGUGCGAAAGCGUGGGGAGCAAACAGGAUUAGAAACCCCAGUAGUCC